GAUCCUGGCUUAGGAUGAACGCUAGCGACAGGCUAACACAUGCAAGUCGAGGGGCAGCAUAAAAGUAGCAAUACUUUGGUGGCGACCGGCGCACGGGUGAGUAACGCGUAUGCAACCUACCUAUCAGAGGGGAAUAACCCGGCGAAAGUCGGACUAAUACCGCAUAAAACAGGGGCACCGCAUGGUGAUAUUUGUUAAAGAAAUUCGCUGAUAGAUGGGCAUGCGUUCCAUUAGGUAGUUGGUGAGGUAACGGCUCACCAAGCCGACGAUGGAUAGGGGAACUGAGAGGUUGGUCCCCCACACUGGUACUGAGACACGGACCAGACUCCUACGGGAGGCAGCAGUGAGGAAUAUUGGCCAAUGGGCGGGAGCCUGAACCAGCCAAGUCGCGUGAAAGGAAGAAGGAUCUAUGGUUCGUAAACUUCUUUUGCAGGGGAAUAAAGUGCAGGACGUGUCCUGUUUUGUAUGUACCCUGAGAAUAAGGAUCGGCUAACUCCGUGCCAGCCGCUGC
rnacentral:rRNA from 1 species